rnacentral:misc_RNA from 1 species
CCGAGUGAGGGCCCUCUGGGUCCAACCUCCCACCCGUGUUUAUUUUACCUUGUUGCUUCGGCGGGCCCGCCUUAACUGGCCGCCGGGGGGCUUACGCCCCCGGGCCCGCGCCCGCCGAAGACACCCUCGAACUCUGUCUGAAGAUUGUAGUCUGAGUGAAAAUAUAAAUUAUUUAAAACUUUCAACAACGGAUCUCUUGGUUCCGGCAUCGAUGAAGAACGCAGCGAAAUGCGAUACGUAAUGUGAAUUGCAAAUUCAGUGAAUCAUCGAGUCUUUGAACGCACAUUGCGCCCCCUGGUAUUCCGGGGGGCAUGCCUGUCCGAGCGUCAUUUCUGCCCUCAAGCACGGCUUGUGUGUUGGGCCCCGUCCUCCGAUCCCGGGGGACGGGCCCGAAAGGCAGCGGCGGCACCGCGUCCGGUCCUCGAGCGUAUGGGGCUUUGUCACCCGCUCUGUAGGCCCGGCCGGCGCUUGCCGAUCAACCCAAAUUUUUAUCCAGG